CAUAAACAUUUUCUUGGAAAACCCGCAUCAUCAAAAUCAAAAUAAGAAAAAUGGACAAGAGGCAUGUAAUAACCACUCUACUACUUUUAAUAGCAACAGUUGUGAAUACAAGAAUAAGUAUUACUUCCUCAUCGUCAUUUCGAAAUGGGGACGAGUCGUUAAUAAUAUUUUGUGAGGUAUCAUCUAAACUUGGAUUGGAUAAAAUCACAAAUAUUCAUCUUGAAAGAGAUUCUGUAUUUCUUGGAUCAAUAGAUGAAAAUGGCACAAAGUUGGGCUCGGAAAAAAGAUCGUUUUAUUAUGAAAUUUCCGGCGAAUUUCACCCCUCAUCUCCUACACGUUCCUAUCUACAACUGGUUAUUAGGAACCCCAUUGCCAAAGAUCAAGGCACCUAUCAUUGUACAACAGUCGGCCUGGAAGUAACACAUAUAACGGAUACUCAACGACAGUAUGUCAGACUCGAAGAAGAUCGACCUUCUUCAUCUGGGUGUGUUUUAUGUCCCACUUUGCUUACCCCUACUCUGGUUGGAUUAUUGGCACUACUAUAUAUUACAGUUUUAAUUACCUAAACGUCUGGAGAUAUAUAAUUUAAGCUCAUUCAAAUUGUACUCUUAUAAUUAAAGCUAUUGUGUUAUUGUUUAAAGAGCUAAUCUUAAGACGCUCUAAAUUACCAACAUGAUUGUUUAAAAACUCAAGCACAGUGCAACAUCUAUAUUGUCUACGAUAUCACCUUAGGUGGAAGUGGACGUAAAACUCCAGAAACGAACGAACGCAACAUCUAUAUUGUUUACGAUAUCACUCUUGGUGGAAGUGGACGAAAAACUCUAGAAACGAACGAAAAGCAACAUCUAUAUUGUCUACGAUAUCACUCUUGGUGGAAGUGGACGUAAAACUUCGGGAACGAAUGAACGAAACAUCUAUAUUCACUAUGGAAAAAAAAAUACAUUAUGUUGUUGAACAACCUUAUCUGAUUUACAGACUAAUUUUACUUUAGGAUAAUGAGAACGAAACAGCCAAGCGAAUAAGCAACCCCCUCCAACCUAUACGUAUUGUAGUAGAAUCUUGAUGCACAAGAUUCUCUCAAUAUAGAACGCAACAAAUCUACCCGUUCUCGCUACUUAUUGAAUUUAUGUGUUAGUCAAGAUAUUGUUGUAAUUAAACUCUAUACCAAGUUUCAUUUGUUCGUUCUAGCGGACGUUAAACCCCAAGAACGUCCCAUCCGAACGCCUAUACCGUGUCCCUUGCCAGGCCCUCGGCCCUGCACCACUGACAAUGACGAACAACGCCGGAAAAUCCCGAUGAAGUUUCUCGGCCAAUGCAGAGAUCGAACAGCGAGCCAACGUCUUACUCGUUGAGCCACCGUGGUUCCACUAGAACGAACGAAUUAAAACUGGUAUAAAGUUUAAUUACUGAUAAACUGAUAAACUGGGCCCUUAUUCACGAAAACUUAAACUAAGAUACAAUCGAAAUUUUAAGAAAUAC